GCCAGUAUAGCUCAGUAGGUAGAGCGUUCCCAUGGUAAGGGAGAGGUCACCAGUUCAAUCCUGGUUACUGGCU
rnacentral:tRNA from 1 species